GUCCCUUGGGGGACAUCCGAAAAAUUGGAACGAUAUAGAGAAGAUUAGCAUGACCCCUAUGCAAAGAUGACAUGCACAAAUCGAGAAAUAUUCUAAGUUUGA
rnacentral:snRNA from 1 species